AUUUUAUGUUGCAUCAUGAUUCAUGGCCAAAGGAAAGUGCACUUUAAUACCAACAAUACCGUAUUAAAAAUUGAGUAUCCGAUUUAAAGCGGCGCCGAUGAGACGGGAUAAUGUGUGUAUGUUUAUCUAUUAGUCUAUAUUUUUGAUUGGACAUUCCGGUAUAGGUUUUUUGUUUUGUUUUUUUUAUUAAAGUUUAUUAACGAGUUUUUUCACUUAUGUUAUUAUUAUCGGUUAAAUAUUUUAAAAAAGACGGAUAUUCUUCGCACGGAGGUGCAGCCAAUGUUGUAGAUGG